CUGUGACCUUAAUUGCCUACUGUCUGGAAGCUGUUAGUGUUUUAAUGACCGUUUCACAGGUGCAUGUUCAUUAAUUGUUCAUGGUUCAUUGAACAAGCAUAGGAAACAGUGUUCAAACCCUUUACAAUGAAGAUCUGUGAAGUUAUUUGGAUUUGACUAAUUAUCUUUGAAAGACAGGGUCCUGAAAAAGGGACGUUUCUUUUUUUGCUGAGUUCAUGUUACUACUGUCACUAGUCCACAUCCCUGUAAUCUCUACUUCACAUGUUACUGCUGUCACUAGUCCACAUCCCUGUAAUCUCUACUUCACAUGUUACUACUGUCACUAGUCCACAUCACUGUAAUCUCUACUUCACAUAUUAUUACUGUCACUAGUCCACAUCACUGUAAUCUCUACUUCACAUGUUACUGCUGUCAAUAGUCCACAUCACUGUAAUCUCUACUUCACAUAUUACUACUGUCACUAGUCCACAUCACUGUAAUCUCUACUUCACAUGUUACUACUGUCACUAGUCCAUCCACAUCACUGUAAUCUCUACUUCACAUGUUACUACUGUCACUAGUCCAUCCACAUCACUGUAAUCUCCUGGAUGCCCACGGACAUGUAGCUAUUCCACAAGAGAUAGGCUUUCUCAGAUUCCCCUGCUCUGGCAGCAGUAAUAGGUUACAUCCCAAACGUGCACCCUUUUCCCUUUAUAGUGCUCUACGACUACCUUUAAAUAGGGUUCAUAUGGCUCUGGUCAAAAGUAGUACACUAUAUAGAGAAUAGGGCGCCAUUUUGGGAGUCAGCCCCCUCAUAGUAUGUCUGCCUCGUCCACCGUGUGACCACUACUAUGGCUGUUGAUGGAUUAGAACAGACGACCUGUAGGCUCAUACAAGACCUCUUCAUUUGGAGAGUAAUCUGAAAUAGUCUCUCCCUUCUCCCUCUCCUCUCUCUGUAUUUUAUGUGUCUCUCUAUCUCUCCCUUCUCUGUCACUCUUUCUUCUGUCUCUCCCUUCCUUCUUCUUUCUCUCCUCUGUGGAUGAAGAGCAUCAGAUUGGAGCCUGGUCUCAACCAGACCUGUCAUCCAUGUCCUGGUCUGAGUCUCCCCUCUAACAUGGUGAACCAGCUUUAACCCUCAUCAGUACUAUGUUGUCCUGGUCUGAGUCUCCCCUCUAACAUGGUGAACCACCCUCAUCAGUACUAUGUUGUCCUAUUUACUAGAUUGCUGUUCCCACAGCUGCUGUUGCAAUGCGUGCACACACACGCACACACACAUACACACACACGCGCACACACACACACACACACACACACACACACACACACACACACACACACACACACUGCUGCAGUCUAGCUAGCACUACAGUAUGUUCGACCAAAAGGAUCUCCGCUCUUCCUGCAGUUCUGUAGUUUGUUCAGCAUGAUUAUGACAUGAUUGAUGAUGAAAUGCUAAUUACCACGUCUUGGCAAGGGCCACAUAAUGUUGACGUUCACAGCUGGCCGUCCUGGAACGGGCCUAACUUCUCAAUAAGCAAAGUAAAAACAAAUCUAGUUGAUUCAACUAAUUGUCAUUAUGUACAGUGUGUCACAUGACUGGUGCAGUGAAGAGAAAACACAUCGAUCAACAAGGGUAAAGGACUGCUUCUGUGACUGUGACUGUGACUGACUGCUUCUGUGACUGCUUCUGUGACUGCUUCUGUGACUGUGACUGACUGCUACUGUGACUGUGACUGCUUCUGUGACUGUGACUGACUGCUUCUGUGACUGUGACUGACUGCUUCUGUGACUGUGACUGCUUCUGUGACUGACUGCUUCUGUGACUGUGACUGCUUCUGUGACUGCUUCUGUG
rnacentral:lncRNA from 13 species